rnacentral:rRNA from 1 species
UACAGAGGGUGCAAGCGUUGUUCGGAAUCAUUGGGCGUAAAGCGCGAGUAGGCGGCUUUGCAAGUCUGGUGUGAAAUCCCGGGGCCUAACCCCGGAAGUGCACUGGAUACUGCUUAGCUAGAGGGUGAGAGAGGAGAGUGGAAUUCCUGGUGUAGGGGUGAAAUCCGUAGAUAUCUGGAGGAACAUCUGUGGCGAAGGCGGCGCUCUGGCUCGCUUCUGACGCUAAUCCGCGAAGGCGGGGGGGGCAGACAGG